rnacentral:tRNA from 1 species
GGGAGUUUGGUCUAGUGGUAUGAUUCUCGCUUCGGGUGCAUGCGGCCGCGAGUUCGAAUCUCGCAACUACCCU